AAGAAAUGCUAAUCUGUAGAACUGAAAUACUUGUGCUGUACCCUAUGCCUACAGACUUUGGUCCAAUCAGUAACAGACAGACAAUUUACCUGUUCUCUUAUUUUCUAGGACUCAGAAUUGGAACCAAGUUUGCUGUGCCAGAAGGACAUUGGCAUUAGGAAGAACUGAGAAAACAACUAAAGAAAAGCAAGGAAAGCUGGAAUGGAAAGAGGACUGAGUGAACUCAGAAGGAUGUGGCUCAGGCAGGUAUUUAAAGUUUACUGCUGUUUGGAUCAUUAACGCAAAUUCUGAAGAUGUGGACAAGCAGGAAGCUGGACAAGCCACUCUGAAGAAGCAUUUGGGAAAGAUGGAAUCAUCAAGCAAGGCUGGCUGGUCAUUAACUACAUAAUCUCCUUAAAUUGUUUCUUAAGAUAAACUUAAGACACUGGUUUGGAACCAGAGUCAAGCUGCAGUCCACUUACCUGGGAAUUCAAAAGGACUUAAUUCUGAGCAUAUGUGGUUAGGAUUUCACUGCAAAUUACUUGAAUUUAGGGUGUCAUACACCGCCACCCCUUUAUGGAACAGCAGGGUCAUUGCUGCAUCCACAGGCCUGGGGGUGGGCAAGACAAUGACAAGGGGCUAAGUCCAUAGAGCUGUACUGCUGAUAGGCAGAUACUCAGACAAUAGAAAUACAAUUGGUA